AUAAAAUGUAAGUAGCCAAGGAAAGGAACUUAUUGGUACUUGUACCAUAAGGUUGCAAGAGCACAAUUAUUUGAAAUGCAUUUUCCAUAGGGUACCACUAGUGUUUCAUAUUUUUUUUCUCGAAGACUUUACAAACUAGGAAAAAAGGGGUAGCAGUUCCUGUUACUAGAAAUGCCAGUGUUGCAUUACAACUAAAAAAAUAUAGGGUCAUGAGGCUCAAACUGACUUAAAAUGGAGUUGAAAAAGAUCGCCAAUUUUUUUCGCUCAACGAAAAAGGGCAUAUUUUUAAUGGCUCCGACCUGCAGAAAUGGAAGAUAUUUUCUAUACUUCAUAAAAUGUGGAUAUGAUUUUCCGCAAUUUUUAAAACCUAUUGGAUAAGCUUUCUAUUAAAUGUAAUUCCAAUCUGUAUCAACCAAUCAGAAGCCGUAUAGGAUUUUAUUCUGAGUACCAUCUUGGGUAAAAAACUUGCCGGUAAAAUGUGAACAAAUAAUUGGGUCUUGUAACCAUAACAUCCAAUUUCAAGUGAAAAUUCAAAUCAGAAAAAACUCCCAUUAUAAGUAAUCAUAUAUUAUCUUUCUAAAU
rnacentral:lncRNA from 1 species